GAUGAACGCUGGCGGCGUGCCUAAUACAUGCAAGUCGAGCGAACGGACGAGAAGCUUGCUUCUCUGAUGUUAGCGGCGGACGGGUGAGUAACACGUGGAUAACCUACCUAUAAGACUGGGAUAACUUCGGGAAACCGUAGCUAAUACCGGAUAAUAUUUUGAACCGCAUGGUUCAAAAGUGAAAGACGGUCUUGCUGUCACUUAUAGAUGGAUCCGCGCUGCAUUAGCUAGUUGGUAAGGUAACGGCUUACCAAGGCAACGAUGCAUAGCCGACCUGAGAGGGUGAUCGGCCACACUGGAACUGAGACACGGUCCAGACUCCUACGGGAGGCAGCAGUAGGGAAUCUUCCGCAAUGGGCGAAAGCCUGACGGAGCAACGCCGCGUGAGUGAUGAAGGUCUUCGGAUCGUAAAACUCUGUUAUUAGGGAAGAACAUAUGUGUAAGUACUGUGCACAUCUUGACGGUACCUAAUCAGAAAGCCACGGCUAACUACGUG
rnacentral:rRNA from 1 species